rnacentral:rRNA from 1 species
UACGUAGGAGGCAAGCGUUGUCCGGAAUUACUGGGCGUAAAGCGCGUGUAGGUGGUGGGACAAGUCUGCUGUGAAAGCGCCUGGCUUAACCGGGCGAGGUCGGCGGAAACUGUUCGACUCGAGGACGGUAGAGGGGGGUGGAAUUCCCGGUGUAGUGGUGAAAUGCGUAGAGAUCGGGAGGAACACCUGUGGCGAAGGCGGCCCCUUGGGCCGGCCCUGACACUGAGACGCGAAGGCGUGGGGAGCGAACGGG